CGGGACGGGUGAGUAAUGUAUGGGGAUCUGCCUGAUGGCGGGGGAUAACUACUGGAAACGGUAGCUAAUACCGCAUAAUGUCUACGGACCAAAGCGGGGGACCUCCGGGCCUCGCGCCAUCAGAUGAACCCAUAUGGGAUUAGCUAGUAGGUAAGGUAACGGCUUACCUAGGCGACGAUCCCUAGCUGGUCUGAGAGGAUGAUCAGCCACACUGGGACUGAGACACGGCCCAG
rnacentral:rRNA from 1 species